CAAAUUGAGGGGUCGUUUAGGCGACUCUCCUCUAAACCUAUGAGAAUUAUACCUAUAUGUCUUGGCAGGUAGGAAACUGUCUGUCAAAAGACGAAAACUCUUGAUUUACAGGUAUCUGAGUUGCUUCAAAUUAUGCA
rnacentral:misc_RNA from 1 species